rnacentral:rRNA from 1 species
AGAGUUUGAUCCUGGCUCAGGACGAACGCUGGCGGCAUGCCUCAUACAUGCAAGUCGCACGAGCUUCCGUUGAAUGACGUGCUUGCACUGAUUUCAACAAUGAAGCGAGUGGCGAACUGGUGAGUAACACGUGGGGAAUCUGCCCAGAAGCAGGGGAUAACACUUGGAAACAGGUGCUAAUACCGUAUAACAACAAAAUCCGCAUGGAUUUUGUUUGAAAGGUGGCUUCGGCUAUCACUUCUGGAUGAUCCCGCGGCGUAUUAGUUAGUUGGUGAGGUAAAGGCCCACCAAGACGAUGAUACGUAGCCGACCUGAGAGGGUAAUCGGCCACAUUGGGACUGAGACACGGCCCAAACUCCUACGGGAGGCAGCAGUAGGGAAUCUUCCACAAUGGACGAAAGUCUGAUGGAGCAAUGCCGCGUGAGUGAAGAAGGGUUUCGGCUCGUAAAACUCUGUUGUUAAAGAAGAACACCUUUGAGAGUAACUGUUCAAGGGUUGACGGUAUUUAACCAGAAAGCCACGGCUAACUACGUGCCAGCAGCCGCGGUAAUACGUAGGUGGCAAGCGUUGUCCGGAUUUAUUGGGCGUAAAGCGAGCGCAGGCGGUUUUUUAAGUCUGAUGUGAAAGCCUUCGGCUUAACCGGAGAAGUGCAUCGGAAACUGGGAGACUUGAGUGCAGAAGAGGACAGUGGAACUCCAUGUGUAGCGGUGGAAUGCGUAGAUAUAUGGAAGAACACCAGUGGCGAAGGCGGCUGUCUAGUCUGUAACUGACGCUGAGGCUCGAAAGCAUGGGUAGCGAACAGGAUUAGAUACCCUGGUAGUCCAUGCCGUAAACGAUGAGUGCUAAGUGUUGGAGGGUUUCCGCCCUUCAGUGCUGCAGCU